GGGUUUGUGGCUCAGUGGUAGAGCCCUUACCUACCAUGUAUGAGGCACUGGGUUCAAUUCUCAGCAAAUAAA
rnacentral:tRNA from 1 species